CCUACGGGCGGCAGCAGUGGGGAAUAUUGGACAAUGGGGGGAACCCUGAUCCAGCCAUGCCGCGUGUGUGAAGAAGGCCCUCGGGUUGUAAAGCACUUUCAGUGAGGAAGAACGCCUGGUGGUGAAUACCCAUCAGGAAAGACAUCACUCACAGAAGAAGCACCGGCUAACUCCGUGCCAGCAGCCGCGGUAAUACGGAGGGUGCGAGCGUUAAUCGGAAUUACUGGGCGUAAAGCGCGCGUAGGUGGCUUGAUAAGCCGGUUGUGAAAGCCCCGGGCUCAACCUGGGAACGGCAUCCGGAACUGUCAAGCUAGAGUGCAGGAGAGGAAGGUAGAAUUCCCGGUGUAGCGGUGAAAUGCGUAGAGAUCGGGAGGAAUACCAGUGGCGAAGGCGGCCUUCUGGACUGACACUGACACUGAGGUGCGAAAGCGUGGGUAGCAAACAGGAUUAGAUACCCUGGUAGUC
rnacentral:rRNA from 1 species